AGUAACUUUGUUGUUUCAAUUUAGUAAUCCUUGAAGAAGCAUUAUAUCCUCCGCAAAGUUGUUGAAAGAUGAAUAUGAGGAUCGUACCUUUGUUCUUUGCCUUGCUUGUUUCAUUGGUUUACGAGGAUGUGAGGCACAUAUUCUCAGAUUCUGGAAAAUUAGCCGGGACUAGUGUGACCUCUGUCCAAAUCCAGCCUGUUUUCCGAUCUUCUGAAGGGUUAUCACCAUAGUUCCUCUGUCUUUCAUGCUUGGAAGUAUCAAGAAAAACUGUGAAUUCCAUAAGUGACCCAUUGUUACCAGAGAAAGUUAGUGCAUUUGUGAACAAUGCGUGUCAGAUACUUCCUUCAGAUAUGCGAGUAAAGUGUGUUGAGAUGUUAGAGAUGAACAUCAAUCAAGCUAUUGUGUUUCUUAAAGACUACUUCAGUGAAGAAAAGCUGUGCAACAGUACGGGGUUGUGCCCUACAAAUGCCAAUACCUUUCCAUUGUUAAGCUUUGGCAAGGAUCUACGGUUAUCUCUAGACCGUGAUUUAUCGAGUAAACCUGCAAUGAACACCAGGCUUCUGCCUAAAGAGCAGACUGCCUCCUCUAUGUUACAGAAGUUCACUAAUAAGAAUUAGAAAACAAAAGCUGUGCUGCAUGUCAUGCUGCCAUAGAAGAUAUACGUAAUGACUUGGAGGAUCCUAAGAUGAAGAUUAAAGUAAUUAGGAUUCUUCUUAAGGCUUGCGAAAGUGUUGAGAACAACAUAAAAGAAUGCAAGAGAAUGGUUCUGAAAUAUGGUCCUCUGAUUUUGGCAAAUCUUGAGAAAUACCUAAGCAACAAUGACUUGUGCAGCAUGGCUCAUAUAUGCAAACCCAUGACUGGCAACACUCUCAAAGCCAUGGAAAGUUUUCGUCCACUAAUAGAGUUGCCAACCAGCUCGAAGACUGAUGCGAUUUCCAAAUGAAAUUCUCUGUGGAAAGAAAAUAUAAGAUUAAAUGCUCCAUCAAUGUACA